rnacentral:rRNA from 1 species
CCAAUAGCGUAUAUUAAAGUUGCUGCAGUUAAAAAGCUCGUAGUUGAAUUUCGGGACCAAUAUGUCUGUCGUGCCUCGGUACGUACUGGCAUCGUUGGUUUCUCCCUUCUGACGAACCAUGAUGUCAUUUAUUUGGUGUCGUGGGGAAUCAGGACUGUUACUUUGAAAAAAUUAGAGUGUUUAAAGCAGGCUCACGCUUGAAUACAUUAGCAUGGAAUAAUGAAAUAGGACGUUUGAUUCUAUUUUGUUGGUUUCUAGGAUCGACGUAAUGAUUAAUAGGGAUAGUUGGGGGCAUUAGUAUUCAAUUGUCAGAGGUGAAAUUCUUGGAUUUAUUGAAGACUAACUACUGCGAAAGCAUUUGCCAAGGAUGUUUUCAUUAAUCAAGAACGAAAGUUAGGGGAUCGAAGACGAUCAGAUACCGUCGUAGUCUUAACCAUAAACUAUGCCGACUAGGGAUCGGAUGAUGUUAAUUUUUUAAUGACUCAUUCGGCGCCUUACG